GGCGUGCUAAUACAUGCAAGUCGAGCGAAGUUUUUCUGGUGCUUGCACCGGAAAAACUUAGCGGCGAACGGGUGAGUAACACGUAAAGAACCUGCCUCAUAGACUGGGACAACUAUUGGAAACGAUAGCUAAUACCGGAUAACAGCAUUAACUGCAUGGUUGAUGUUUAAAAGUUGGUUAUGCUAACACUAUGAGAUGGCUUUGCGGUGCAUUAGCUAGUUGGUGGGGUAAAGGCCUACCAAGGCGACGAUGCAUAGCCGACCUGAGAGGGUGAUCGGCCACACUGGGACUGAGACACGGCCCAGACUCCUACGGGAGGCAGCAGUAGGGAAUCUUCCGCAAUGGGCGAAAGCCUGACGGAGCAACGCCGCGUGAGUGAAGAAGGAUUUCGGUUCGUAAAGCUCUGUUGUUAGGGAAGAAUGAUUGUGUAGUAACUAUACACAGUAGAGACGGUACCUAACCAGAAAGCCACGGCUAACUACGUGCCAGCAGCCGCGGUAAUACGUAGGUGGCAAGCGUUGUCCGGAAUUAUUGGGCGUAAAGCGCGCGCAGGUGGUUUAAUAAGUCUGAUGUGAAAGCCCACGGCUCAACCGUGGAGGGUCAUUGGAAACUGUUAAACUUGAGUGCAGGAGAGAAAAGUGGAAUUCCUAGUGUAGCGGUGAAAUGCGUAGAGAUUAGGAGGAACACCAGUGGCGAAGGCGGCUUUUUGGCCUGUAACUGACACUGAGGCGCGAAAGCGUGGGGAGCAAACAGGAUUAGAUAUCCUGGUAGUCCACGCCGUAAACGAUGAGUGCUAAGUGUUGGUCUCAUAAGAGA
rnacentral:rRNA from 1 species